AUAGUAUUUCUUAGUCCAAAUAUACCAUAACUCUUCUUUCACUUUGACUUCGAUUAAGUUUUCUCUCUUUUAUUGCCCCAAGAUUUUACUCCUAAACUUAGGACCUCAAGCCUAGAUUUACUUGGAUGCUGACGACUCGACGCAGUUGCCAUUAAAUAGACUACGUAACCCUGGUAUCCAAGAGUAUACGAAAAACUAAACUCAGUGCUCACCUCUAGUUUAUACCAUACCAUCUCUC
rnacentral:lncRNA from 1 species